UACGGAGGGAGCUAGCGUUAUUCGGAAUUACUGGGCGUAAAGCGCACGUAGGCGGCUUUGUAAGUUAGAGGUGAAAGCCUGGUGCUCAACACCAGAACUGCCUUUGAUACUGCAUCGCUUGAAUCCAGGAGAGGUGAGUGGAAUUCCGAGUGUAGAGGUGAAAUUCGUAGAUAUUCGCAAGAACACCAGUGGCGAAGGCGGCUCACUGGCCCGGUACUGACGCUGAGGUGCGAAAGCGUGGGGAGCAAACAGG
rnacentral:rRNA from 1 species